rnacentral:rRNA from 1 species
AGAUUGAACGCUGGCGGCAGGCCUAACACAUGCAAGUCGAGCGGCAGCACGGGUACUUGUACCUGGUGGCGAGCGGCGGACGGGUGAGUAAUGCCUAGGAAUCUGCCUGAUAGUGGGGGGAUAACGUUCGGAAACGGACGCUAAUACCGCAUACGUCCUACGGGAGAAAGUGGGGGAUCUUCGGACCUCACGCUAUCAGAUGAGCCUAGGUCGGAUUAGCUAGUUGGUAGGGUAAAGCCUACCAGGCUACGAUCCGUAACUGGCCUGAGAGGAUGAUCAGUCACACUGGAACUGAGACACGGUCCAGACUCCGUACGGGAGCAGCAGGUGGGAAUAGUGACAAGUGGGACGAAAGCCUGAUCCGAGUCCAUGCCGUCGUGUACGUAGAAGGUAAGGUCGUUACGGUAUUAGUAAAGUCUAACGUUUAAGGUUGGGAGGAAGGUACUAAGUUAACCUAAGUACGUUAGUUGUUUACGUACGUUACGAUAAGUAAC